rnacentral:rRNA from 1 species
UACAGAGGGUGCGAGCGUUGUCCGGAAUCACUGGGCGUAAAGGGCGCGUAGGCGGCUCGAUAAGGUUGCGGUGAAAGCCCGGGGCUCAACCCCGGGUCGGCCGUGGCAACUGUCGAGCUGGAGCACUGUAGAGGCAGGUGGAAUUCCGGGUGUAGCGGUGGAAUGCGUAGAGAUCCGGAAGAACACCGGUGGCGAAGGCGGCCUGCUGGGCAGUGGCUGACGCUGAUGCGCGACAGCGUGGGGAGCAAACAGG